CCUACGGGUGACAGCAGUGGGGAAUAGUGGGCAAUGGACGCAAGUCUGACCCAGCAACGCCGCGUGAAGGAAGAAGGCUUUCGGGUUGUAAACUUCUAUUAAGGGGGAAGAGCAGAAGACGGUACCCCUGGAAUAAGCCACGGCUAACUACGGGCCAGCAGCCGCGGUAAUACGUAGGUGGCAAGCGGUGUCCGGAUUUACUGGGUGUAAAGGGCGUGCAGCCGGGAAGACAAGUCAGAGGUGAAAUCCCGCGGCUCAACCGCGGAACUGCCUUUGAAACUGUUUUUCUUGAGUAUCGGUGAGGUACUCGGCAUUCCUCGUGUAGCCGUGACAUUCGUAGAUAUUAGGCAGAACACCAGUGGCGACGGCGGCUUACUGGACGCCAACUGACGGUGUGGCGCGAACGCGUGGGGAGCAAACCGGAUUAGAUACCCCAGUAGUC
rnacentral:rRNA from 1 species